ACACAGACCUUUACACAGCUUGUCUGUGUGUGUGUGGAGGCCAGCCUGGAGUCUUUCGGCCUCACCUGCCAGACAACGUCUCUGCCUCCUCACUGUCUCCUGUAUUCUCCUGAAAUCCCGAUCUCCGUCUUGGCCAGCCCAGACAAUGCCUCCCAACCUCACCGGCUACUACCGCUUUGUCUCACAGAAGAACAUGGAGGACUAUCUGCAAGCCCUAAAUAUCAGCAUGCCUCUGCGGAAGAUAGCGCUGCUGCUCAAGCCAGACAAGGAGAUUGACCAUCAGGGCAACCACAUGAUAGUGAAGACCCUCAGCACCUUCCGCAACUACGUUCUGGAGUUCGAGGUGGGAGUCGAGUUUGAGGAGGACCUAAGCAUCAUGGACGGACGAAAAUGCCAGACCAUAGUAACCUGGGAGGAGGAGCAGCUGGUAUGUGUGCAGAAAGGGGAGGUCCCCAACCGGGGCUGGAGACACUGGCUGGAGGGAGAGAACCUAUAUCUGGAACUGACUGCAAGGGACGCAGUUUGUGAGCAGGUCUUCAGGAAGCUCAAGUAGGCGGAGAGGAGCUGAGGGCCCCUCCAGACCGCACUGGUCCCCAGACUCCUUGCUUGUGCCUCUUCAAGCCCAGACUGUCCCAGCCUCUCUGCAGAUGUCCCCAGCAGAGUGGGGAGUGGAGAGGCCUCCUCUGAGCAGAGCCACCCAGCAGAAGCUCCAAGGGCUGCUGGAGCAGCCUUGUUCUUUCCAGGGUACAGUGAAGCUGAAGGAUCGUGCUCCAUAUAUACUCACCCAUUGCCUAAGUCAUCAGAUCAACGCAGUGUCCUGGCCACCCUGAGUGCACAGCGCACGUCCAAGCCUCUCUCCACAGAACUGUCCUCUGGGCUCUUCAUGUUGGCCCAGUGCCCCUCGCUGGAGUCUGCCCAGAGGGCCUGACCCAGGAGGUUGGAGGCCUCCUUGUUGACUGUCAGGCACAAGCUAAAGCAGCUUCAAUCCCCCAAAACUCCUGUGAUAUGAGCCUCUACACCAUCCACACUGCAGGUCCACAUCCUCCACUUACCCCUCCAGGAGCCAGAAUCCAACAAGAGGCCUGGAGACCCCCGAAAAGAGCACAAGCAACCAGAGGAGGACCCAGCAGCUUCAGAGGCAUCUCCAAGGGGUGGCUGCCAGGACCUACUGAGACUGUGGGAAGCUGGGGCUGCUGUUUCCCCUGUGGGCAGCAGGGGGCGCUGCUCACUGCAGUGGGAGCCAGAGAUCCGCUAAAUUUAAUCCUCCCUCUGACAGCUUCUUGUAUAUUCCAUUCCCCACAACAUAUGCACACGCAAGCACACACACACACACACAUACCAGUUCCCAGCUCGCAUAUUCACCCUGACAAGACCUCUACAACUCGUUCAAAUCAGGCUGCUCCAUCCAUCCUCAGAUGGAAUAGAUGGUCACCAGGGCCACCAACCUGUAAGUGAAGAAAAGGCAGGGGAGAGGACAACAGCCAAGUGUGGGUGGUCUCAUCCUUGGAGCACACAAAGUUCUGAGUCCCAGGACCAACUUUUACUUUGUUGCCCAGUGUCUUAGGCCCCAGGGAGAUGAUCAGGAAUCCAAAAUGUUUAUUUCCAUGUGAGAUGGAACAACUGCCCCCUUGUAAGCCAGCCCCAUGCUAGGCCCCUGCCCCACUCCCACUCCGCCAGGCCCAGAUGGCACCAUCUCAUCACAAACAACCUUCUAGCCUGAAUGCCAAAUGAUUCUUUAGCCUUGAUCCUGUAGGUCAGUCCAGAUCCCUCUGCUCAGGAGAAACUGACUGAUGUAGCUGACGUAGGUUUGCAUGGAGGGCAGAAAGAAGCAAAGACGGUAAGCAAACCCUCUGAGGCUUGCAGUGCAAGCAGUGGCCCUGCUUGACCAGGGGCCAGAACCAGCACCCACGAGGCCCUCCUCCUCCUCCCCUAGAUCUCAGCCAGGAGGAUGGCUCUGGGCCAGCUCUGUGGCCCUGUGGGCACCUGUGCUCCACAGUGAAUACCCACCCUCACCAGAGGCCAUUUAGGUUCCAGCGGCGUGAGAUGGAGCUGACCUCCCACGUUCACCCUUCCAGCAAGAAAAGGGGACCUCUGUCUUCUCAAGGACUUCCUGGCCCACCAUCUAUCUGGGGGUGAGCCUCCUGCCUCCCCGCAUCCACCUAGUCCCAAGUCUCACUCCCCUCUGCCCUCACUUUUGUUCCGGCCACUAAGGAGAGGGGCAGCCCUAGGAGCCUCUGUUCUGUUCCCUGUGGGCAGUGCCCAACCAGAGGUUUGCCAGCAUAACCAGGCCAUUGAGUUAAUGGAUAAAUCACUUGCCUCAGAGACACCAGAUGAACCUAAAGUGGCACCCAAAUUGAGAGAAACUAUUCCACAGUGGUCAGGUGAAUGGGCUCUACUGUCAAACUGCCACCUCUUACUAGCUGGGUGGGCAUAUACAAGCCACCAACCUUCAGUAAAUAAGCCACAUUUGCCGGUCGUACAAGGCAAUGCAAGAGUACUUCCUUCCUCCUAGGAAUUUUGUGAAGAUUCUGUGUAAGAUCACUCAGCAUAGUACCUGGAAAAGAGUAAGCACUGGGCAAUGUUAGCUAUUUUUACCUUUAGUAUCCCCUACCUCUUCGCUUGAUGAUUGACAUUCUCUCAACCAGAAGCAAAGCCUUGCAUCUACAGUUAAGGAGAAGGCAUCACUGCCCACAGCCCUGAGGUCACAAGGUGGCUUCUAUUUAUACCAAAGUGUGAGACACUGAUACCAGAGAUUUAGGGACAGUAUAGCCCUCACUUUGGGGGUCCAGGCAGGUAACCCAUCUGGGGAUGAUGGGGUGGGGGGCAUUGUUGCCUCCCCUGGGCCUCCCUCACUGCAUCCUAUAGUCCCCUCACCCCCAUGAGAAGGAGUGCACCAUCCCAGCCAGCGCUGCCCUCGGAGCCUGUGCCAGCAUCUGGGCGGCUGCUGCUUCUGCUCCUACCAGCUGGGCUACGAGCUGUGGAGUGACAGGCACCCUUGCCUUCCCACCAGCAGAGAGAAGGCUUCAGGGCAGGGGAGAGAGAGCUGAUGGUGGCAGCUGCCCAGCCCCAGCGCCACUGCAGCGGCAGCUGUACACAGAGCCAUGGGCUCCACCCCCACCCCCAAGUCCCUCUUGGGCUCCUUCCCCAGAGUACGCACUGAAGCUGCACCAUUCAAGGGGCUGGACCCCCAGGGCAGGGGCUCUGUCCAGGCCCUGGACUCCUCCAGUCACCAGUUGCAGGCGCAGCCACUGUCCCUUGACCCUCCUGUCUCCUUAUCUUCUUCCCAAUGGGUACCCAAACCAGCCAGCACCCUCACCCCUGCCUGGAGGGUUUUUUCUCAUACUUUCCUCUUGUCUGAGAGGCCUCCACCCCCCUGCCCCUGAUCCCUUCAGCAUAUCCCCUGUCAUCAUUGACCUAGGCAGGGGUCAAGGCAGAGCUGAAGCACUGAUGAGAAGUCACUGCCGCUACCUCACUGUGUGAUCUUGGGCAAAUUACUUCACUUCUCUGUGCCUUUGUUUCCUGACAGGACCAGUCUGUUCAGCUUGAGGGUCUUUCACUGAUCUACUCUCUUGCCUUCCACAUAGGCCCCUCCCCUAGGAUUGCUCUCUCCUUCCCAGUGUUUUCAGAAAAGCCUUGCUCCCUGUCCUUGAUCCAGCUGUGAGGAAACCAUUAUCAUCUUUAAUGUAACAAAAACCUAUCCUGCGAGGUCCCCAGUGGAAGGAGAGGCCCAACGCAAAAGGGCAGCUGGAUGGAAAAGCACCCUCUCCUGGAGGGGGCACCCCUAACCGCCGCUGCCACUCACCACUCCGUUCUGCUUCCCCCUCACCCCUUUCUUUCUGAGUAGCACAGAUGAGACAAGGGUGCAUCGUUUGAAUAGGGGUUUAUUAAAGUCUUGGAGGAAACAAAGAGAACUGGAACAGAGAGUAAUACCCAAGUCCCUUAUCUGAGGUGCAAACGCAGCCUCACCCCAUAAACUCCUUAUUGUCAAAGGAAGGGCUGGCGCAGGUUGCAGCAGAGCUGCUGUACGUGCACGGUAUGUUCAAAGAGUUCUUUACUAAAGGACUUUAUUUCAGGCUUGAAAGUCCACAUAAAGGCCCGGGGUGUGGGAGAUUUGGAACUGGAAUCUCCAGCCUCUGAACUUGCCCUUUGGACAAUCUGCUGUGGUGUGUGGGGCCAUAGUCCUAGAUUCUUGGGACUCACACUAUGGUUAUCCUCCCCUAGGUUGGAAAGGACAUUCCAUCUGGGGUUUCUCCUUCCUGCCCAACCCUUCUUUUCAACAGUUUCUUGGUCCUUUUUAACCAUCUGUCAUCCUCCCAAAGCCCCACAUCCUCUGUGUUUGGUCUCCUGUGGGUCGUACUUUGAUCUAUCCAGUCCCAAUACUUAAUGGGGGUGAAUGAAGGGGGCCUUCAGAUCUUAAGGUGGAGGAGGAGAGGGCAAGAGCCCCCAAAGGCACUCUGGCUUCAGGUUAAUACAUCUGAAAUACAACCAUACCUAGCAAAAAUGACAUCCUGCUUACUGAUCUUCUGCAUUUAUUGUUCUAAAAUAUGUCUACUUCUGUGAAAGCCAGCCUCCAAGAUGGCCCCCAGUGAUCCCUGCUUCCUGGCAUUCCCUUCCUUGUGCCGUCUCCUCCCACAUCGUGUCAGGACUGGUCUACGUGGCCGAUAGAAUAUGGCAGAAGUGAUCCUAGGUCACUUCCGGGCUGGGUUAUAAAAGACAUGUUGGAUUUUCUGUACAAUGUUGUGCCUAUAGCUAACAAUUCUGUAUCGUACACUUAAAAUUUUGUUAAGAGGGUAGAUCUCAUGUUAAGUGUUCUUAUCACAGUAAAGUAAAAAUUUUCUAAAAAAGACA